AAUCGAGCCUGGGCCUCUUGUGGUCGUAUCGAAGAAGAACCGUACAUAUCGAGCAUAAUUUUUAUGAAACUUUGUCGAAAUAAAAUAGUUAUGCCAUGCAAAGGGAUAGGUUAGUAUUAAGUUUAGCUAUUUUUUAACGUUUGUGCACUGUUGUCAAGUUCUAGCCGUGUUUUGAAACAUGUGCUGCAAAUUCAUUGAAUUUUAUACUCUUCGCCACCCAUUCAAGCGCUUCGUUCUCGCUUUAAAAUAGUCGCUUUUUCCAUUCGUAUUUCUCCCAAAUUUUCUUGCAAUAAUGUUCAGAAAUACCCCAGCUUUGAUUGAUAUAACUCAUAGUUGUUUUAUCUGCCGUUUCAGGACAACAAUUGGACAGGAAAGUUAACAAAGUUUACUGAUAAGUCGCCGACCCGAAGCACGUGCACGUGGUAAGCAUCAAUUAUCACCUUUUUUUUUUAACAAAUUUUAUUUGGAUCGAUAUUCACAAUUUUUAACAGACAAAAGAAUAUAACAGAACAAAUAUUUAUUAAGUUAGAUAUCAAAUGUAGAUCCAAAAAGGUAAGGGACCGGUCAUAAAGUAAUUACUAGAGGGGGGUGGAGGAUAAAUUAAAUUUCAAGUACAUAUUUCCAUACAACCCUCGAAAUUCAACUAUUUUUGCCUCGGCAAAUAAUUGCCGAAGUCUUUUGAUAAUUUUCGAGUUUGCCUUGGCAAUGCCUCGGCAUUUUUUUUUGCCGAGGCACGCAAUGAAAUCACCUUAAAUUCCUUCGGCAAUUACUUCGGCAUUCAUGUCGGCAGUUCCUGAUUCAAAAUGUUUUUAAAAAGUUUAGUGGUAAUUAACAACAAAUUGUAUGAAAGAAUAAACUUGACGGUAAUCACGCGACAGUCUAAAAGAUAAAACAAAGUUUCUCGACAUGCCGUCUUUAAACCAUCAAGAUUGUUCUUAAUUUCAGCCGAGGCUGACGCUGAAAAGCUCAAAUUUAGGUAUUUUGUAAAGUAGCUAUGAAUGAAAUCUUCUGUUGUUCACCCGACGUCGAUGACAACAAUUCGAACAAAGAAGUGAUGCAAAAAACGAACACUGUAGUUUGUAAAUUUAAGCAAAAAAAACAAACAGACGCUGUAGUUUGUAAUUUAAGGUACAACGGGUGGAAUUGCCUCGGAAUUUUUUUGCUAUGAAAAAUCGUAACUUGCCUCGGCAUUUGCGUCUGCAAUUGCCGAGUGCUGAGGCGAAUUUCGAGGGUUGCCAUACCCUCCCAAAAACCUAUGGAAAAAUUUUCGUAACCCCCUUCAAUGUAAGUGAAAAUUUUCAUACCCCCCGUUCUAUCAUCAAUUCUGUUUUAACAUUUGUCUUGUGUUUAUCUAUAUUUCGAAACUCUCCAGUUUGUGAUAACUCUCCCACUUCUUGUAGUGGUAACCAGUGCAUGUCCUGCCCAGCAGGACUAAAAAUUUCCCAAAAUUUCCUUACUAAAACAUUGCUUUAUUUAUCUUGAAGCUUUAAAAAUUUAUCAUUAUCAGUUGUUAUUUUGUCUCAUUUUCUCGUCUUUUUCGUUAUUAAUUUUUAAUUAAAAAGUUUUUCGCAUUCUGUUAUAUUUACGCAAUUUUAUAGCUUGCCGUGUCUGUUACCUAGCAACUGCAACUCUACAUUGAUUUACACGCGACUCGUAUUUCAGUCCUGCCAUUUCCAAAUUUCAUAGUAAAUUCAUACAAGAAAUCUUGGUUUCUGAUUGGAUAAUUAGGUCUGCGCAUGCUCAAAUCGACUGUUUACAAAUGCGAAGUCCUGCUCUCUCGAAAUGGCAGGACUUGGCCUUGUAUUGUCUUUACUUGCGAGCUUUCCGCGUGACUAAACCCACUUUUUACUAAUUCUGUUGAGAUUACUCAUGUGAUGAAUAUUGAAAUCAACGAGUGUCAGGAAGCCCAAUGUGAUUUUGAUAUAAUUUCUGGCUUCUGCUAAGAUAUUUUAGCUCACGAAAUGCAUGUGAACAGACUCAACUGAUGAUUGUGUAUUUUUAUAAUACAAUAUAAUGGGGAAUACAAACUUCAUUUGGGAAGCCUGUACGUCGUAUUAAUAUAAAGUAAGAACGUAAUAUUUACUGCCAGUUCAUCUGCUUUCUGCAUUUGAAACGAGCACUUAUAUUGAGUUUAAUUUUAAAAAUGAUAUACUGUACCAAUUCACACUGUUUAUAUAGAUAUUUGGCCGCAUAGACUAUAUUAAACGCUAGCUAUAUUAAUACCAUAGCGUACUGAAUUACAUUCAGAGUGCCAGGCGUAGUGAUCUGUAGUUGAUACCACUCCAUUAUAUAAAGUUUUAUAACACUAACAAACGUAGUGAUUCUUUAACGAAUGCUAGCCGUAGCGUUAUAGUGUAUAAAACGCCGUGUUCAACAGUAUAUAAAUAGUUACGCAAUUGUUGAUUAUGUGAGGUUGGAUUAUGUGUUGAUCAAGUGAUGAUAUUUUCGUCUUUACCUCCUACAUUAUAUUUUCAGUUAAGUUGAAAAUAUAUAGUGAAAUAUGAUAAAAAAAAUGCUUGGUUUCAAAAAGUUGCAAAUAUUUUUUCUAAAAAAAUUAUCAAAUAUUUUCCGCUAAUCACGCAAUUUUUUGAUGAUCCCUUUGGAGUAUUUCACCGUGAAAUCGCAGGAAAUGGCCAUUCCAGACUUCUAAAAUUCAAAAUUUCCCGGGGGAGCAUGCCCCCGGACCCCCCUAGAAUGGGUGGGUCUUAGAGCAGGACUAGUCAAAUUUCGCCACCUACGCCACUGGUGGUAACCAUAUCCUCAACAUUUUCCGCAGUCUCCAAUUCGUUACCAGUUUUUUUCUGAUUCUGACAUACUAGCGAUGGGCUGAGGGUACGAUCAAAACAGAAAAAUUUGUUUGGGGUUUCCCGUACUGAAAAUCAUGGCGUGACAUGAGCGAUAUUCGGGCCAUAAAAUUGAGCGAGACACGAGCAAUAAUGAGUGUGACGAUACACGGCGUGUCUCAAACGUGACAUUUUCGAGCGAGACAUUGGGCGAGACAUGAGCGAUAAUGAGCGUGACGAUACACCAGCGAUACACGGCGUGUCUCAAACGUGACAUUUUCAACCAAAUUUCACCGGGACUGGGCCAUACAUUUUUCAGGCCAUAAUUUUGUCUGGCCUGAUUUUGGCUGUAUUAUGGCUCCACAUUUAGGCUGGAAAUUAAGAAACGCAAUCGCAUUUACGCAGACAAGUAAAAUAACACAUAUCAAUACACACAUACCAAGAUAGCACGCAAUGCUAUUAAAUCAGGUCAAAAAUAUAAAGCAAGUUUUUAAAAAUUUAGUAAUUUAAAAAUCAUUGACAAUAGUUUACACUUCAAACUUUUGGAUAAAAUGCAUUUGUAAAGUUAGCUUUUGUUCAAGUAUUUUUAUGCAUAUUUUGCUUUUCCGUCAACAGCGAUUAAAUUACUUUUAUCUUUCAACUUUCAAGAUAAAACCACUUGAUUGAAAGAACAUCACGCUAUUGCAACGAGCUUUUGCUUAUACUAAAAGCCUUGUUUUAACUAAUAUACCUUGACAUUAGGGGCAUUUAUAUGGGCGAAAAUAAGCUGCGGCUUUGAGAUGACGUCGCGAGCGACUCAUGUAAACGGUCAAUUUGUCCGCAAGCGGCAGCUAAAAUAUUAAAGACAACAGGGUUGAAAGCUAGGCCUAAGUCACUAUUCGGGCCGUGGUUUCAGACUUAAUUUCGCCAUUGCAUUAUAUAUGAAAAUAUGAAAAUCGGAUUUUAAUUUCGGCCUUGAAUAUUUUGUAGGCCUUAAUUUUCUAUUCCAGCAAAUUUCUGUUAAAACGUAUAAACAUCUAAAGUUUUUAUACCUAUAAAAAGAUUGUUCGCAAUGCAUGGUUUUGAAAGCGUAAAGCCCCAAACAGACCGGACGCGAUUCGGCAACGCGAAUUUUCAAUGACAUUUACCUUUACUAUUUUUCCAUGCUUUUUAAAUAUUCUUAACCACUUAAGCAAUUUUAGCUAUUUGGUCUGCAUAUCUUGUAAAAUUUUUAUCUGUUGACGGUUUUAUUUGUUUUUAAAAUCUGAAAAUUCGCGUCGCGUUGUCGAAUCGCGUUCGGUCUGUGUGGGCCUUAAUAAUUACAUUUAAAGUAAAUUAUGUAUUGCGGUAUCACACGCAAAACUGUACAGAACAGGUACGUAACCGUUGAGAUUAAUUACUUACAUUUAGAAGAAACUUGAAGACUGUCUCCAAUGCAUAUAUUGCCAACGCCUUGAAUCUCAAAGUCGCACAGAAACUUUGCGAGGGACACUAUCAUUUGACUUCAACGUCGCCUGGCUGAAGAAUUACCGAGAAUACAGUGCAAUAUAAAACGAUGAUCAUUGUUGAAAAUCCGCAACUUUUCCCUUGUUCGACCGACCGUGUAUGGUUUGCUGCUUGAAAGCGAUGCGUGUGUACAGCAAAAUAAAACCAACUCAAAUUGCGCGCCUUGUCAUCCGAGACAAAACAAAUUAAAUUUUUAACGUAACGCUCUUGUCGUGCUCAUGCAGUUUCUUUCAAUUUUCGCCGGAUAUGAUAAUAAUCUCACAUUUUCAUGGCACGCAAAGGAAUUUCUGUUGCUUGUCUCGCUCUGCCUCGCUAUAUUAUCGUCCAUGUUUCGCUGUAAAAGCAGCGUGACAAUUGUCUUGUUUGAGCGAGACAAUUUGUCUUGCGAUGUCACGCUCAUUCAGGCCAAAUUCUCCGCCAUAAACAAGCGAUACAAAUGUCUCGUUCGUAACAGGCAGCGAGACAAAACCAAUGUCUUGUUGUGUCUCGCUCAAUUACCGCUGCUUUAAUUGGUUUAUGGCCAGAUAGUCUGGCCAGAAUCUCGCUCAGUCAGGCUGUAACUUUUCAUACGGGUUAUUUCAAAUAUAAAACAUUUGCUUCCAUUCAAUGUGACACUUCCUCAUCAGGUUCAUCAAGUUCUAAUGCAGGUGUCAGAGCUUGCUAGCGUUGACAAUUCAGGUGUAUCAGAUUUGUACUCCAAAAGUUCAACGGAUACUGAAUCCUACUUAUCAUCUGACAUUGAGUCCGACUAAAACAUAUACCUUGUGAUAUGAUUUAAUAAUUAUAGAAAAAAUCUGGGCACAAAUACAUUCAAUAUUCAACAAUAAUAAUUAAAUCUGGGCACAAAUACAUUCAAUAUUCAACAAUAGUUAUAAAAUGUAAUUUUUUCCGUACCUAUUAAGUACUAAGAUUUUGGUACCCCCCUAGAGGUUCUGUUGUUUUUUUCGUACCCCCUCAGAGGUUCUCUUUUUUUCUCGUACCCCCCAAAAAUAUCCUCCACACCCCCUAGUAAAUACUUUAUGACCGGUCCCUAAGGUACGAACGGGACUCUUAUAUAAAAGGUCCCAUGCAGCAGGGCUGCAAAAUUACCACUGAAAAAGGAAUUAAUUCCAAUUACAAUUACUUGCUUUAAAAUAUAAUAAAUUUCUGAUUACAAUUACUUGUUCUAAAAUGUAAUUAAGUACAAUGGAAAAAUUACAGCGGAAAAAAGGAAUUAAUUACAAAUUCCUUUACCGGCAAAUUGUUACUAUAUAUAUUAUAAUGAAAUGAAUGUAUUGUUAGAAUUUGAAUAGCGAGCUUAAGCAAGUGACGUUUUUGACAACACGGACGUCGAUCGGAAGUAAAGUUGACAUUUUUCACCAAUCACAGCCCUUGACCCAGUCUUCUGACGUUACUCAUGCCGUUCGUGUUGUCAAAAACGUUGUUUGCUUAAGCUCACUAAUGCCUCAGCACUCUGCUUACCCUGGUUCCAGAGGUUUAAAAUAAACCUCUGGUUGAAAGCAGCAAUUGAUUCAUCGAGCCGCGCCAAUCAGUUUGAAUUAGGGUCAGACUCUGUCUCCUGAUUGGAUGAUUUUAUUAAAGCUCUCUGAUUUGUUAUAGAUGUUUUAUUUGAAUCAAUCAGAGAGCUUUAAUACAAUCAUCCAAUCAGGAAACAGAGUCAGGAUCUGACCCUAAUUCAAACUGAUUGGCGCUGCUCGAUGAAUUAAUUGCCGCUUUCAACCAGAGGUUUAUUUUUCCUCUCCCCUUCGCAAUGCAAAUAAUAAAAUUUAACCUCUGGAACCAUGCAGGGUACACUCUGCUGAACCCACAUGUGCAUAAAAGCUUGACGUAAGUAAAUUAUUACCAAGAGCAGAAAAUGUGCGCUUUACAAAGAUAUUUUAAUUUCUUAAUAAGUCAAUAUUUAAUAUAUGCACCCUUGUCAAUAUUUUACGCAUCUUUGUGUUCAGCUUAGUGCUGGGGCAUUCAAAUUUUAACAAUACGUUAUUUCAAUGGUUUUUCGGGUUUUUUUGGGACACCCUGUAUAGAGAAUAAUAUACGGGUGCGCGGAAAUACCAGAUUUAUUUCGAGUGUUGGACAUGAUAUCUUGCGAGUGAGCGCAGUGAACGAGUAAGAUAUCAUGUUCAACACAAGAAAUAAAUCUGGUAUUUCCAAGCACCCAUGUAUUUUUCUGUUUAUUAUAUAAAGGACACUCUUUGAAAAACGAUAAUUUUUACAGAAAAGCGAUAAUUGAAAAGCGAUCAUUUUCACAUGUGAGAUUAUCAUGAAUAUAUAUAGUCUCACAUGUGAGAUUAUCACUUUUAUCAGUGCUCGAAAUCUCUAUAAAGCACUAUACUUUAUAUAAUAUUAAAGACAAUAUCUUAAACUGUAGUUAAUUGUAAAUAAAAACUGUAUAAACUAUGAAAUUUGCAAGAAUUUAUCGAAAUUUAUCAAGAUGAUAUUUCAAUAUAUUAAAAUAUUUGACAUGCAAAUCAAAGCAUGUAAUUUGACAUGCAAAUCGAAGCAUGUAACUUUAUUUGCCAAUAUUUGGCGCUCGGAACAAAUUGUGGUGUCCAAUUUCGCAAUAAAUAGUACUUCAUGUAGGCUAUCAUGUCAUGUGAUCUCGUUGAAAAUUAUUUCAGCCAUUUUUCUGAAUUUUUGUCGUCACGUAGUAUUUUUUAUUUCUUAUUUUUAACAAAAUAAGAAAAGGAAUUUUCAAUUUGCUCCUUGGAAAAGGAACACGUUCCUUGCUUUUGUAAUUAAUUACGUUUUUCGUUACAUUUCUAAAAACGUAACUAAUUACAGGUUAAAAUUACUUCAAAUGUAACGAGUACACAGUAACGAGUAUUUACAGCCCUGCCAUGCAGGGCACCCACCUCCAAAAUAGUAAUCAUGAUAACUAAUAGAACAUUGUGAACUCAAACUUGCUAUUAAAGGAUUCCGGCAAGCAAAAAAUUAAACUGAAUCGUUAACUCGAAAUUCAAAAUAGUCUCCGCUUCAGAGAGUUUGAGUAUACGUGGCUCUAUUUCCUGAAACUGAACAUGUCAAGUAAACUAAGAGACAGAUUGAACAUGCAUGUAAAAGUAAAGGCCAACUUCCACACAGGAAAAUCCCCCGCUGAACAGAAACGGCGGGAGAGCUUUCAUUGUGUUAAAUUCACGACGUCCACAUCAUUCGUGCUGAUUAAAUUCAUUAAAUUCAUUUAUUGAGACAGAGGGAAACAGUGUGUUUUGUGGACCUGAACAGCACCGGCAGUCGACUGGGCCAUAUUUUUAAAGAUGGCAUUGAGGGUCCACAAAACACAGUGCCGGUGGUCGGGUAGCCUGGGCGUCAGGCUCUAUGCUUGAAAUAGAGCCUGCUACUGAAGUUAAUAAAAAGUGGAUUUAUGCAGGCCUCAAAUUGGAAACUCUUGUUAGUUGAAUUUUAUUGGUUCUCUCCUGUCAUGCACAGGAAAUUUUUCAAAAAUUCAAAAAGUGCCCCAAACCACUCCAAACUUUCUGAAACUCGCUGAAAAUUGUCAAAAACCAUUUCUCUCAUCAAAACAGUUAGUUUCGACUGAUGAAAACAUGUUUUAAAAAAUAUUGGUAAAAUUUUGGUACCCAGUAGGCUUAGCAAAGGGGGAACCACAGGAAAUUUUUCAAAAAUUCAAAAACAUUCAAAAAACCCUCAAACUAGUCCAAACGUUCUGAAUAUUGUCGAAAUCCUUUCCUGUCAUCAAAACAACUACUUUCGAUCGAUAAAAACAUGUUUUAAAAAUUUUGGUAAAAUGCAAAGGGGGGACCACAGGCAUACCCAGGUGACCAAAGGGUUCCCCACAGGAAAUUUUUCAAAAAUUCAAAAAGUUCCCCAAACCACUCCAAACUUUCUGAAACUCGCUGUAAGUUGUCUAAAAACUAUUUCUCUCAUCAAAACAGUUAGUUUUGACUGAUAAAUACAUGUUUUUAAAGAUUUUGGUAAAAUAUGCUAUUUGCUAAUUUAUUGCUUUAUUUGCAUGCCCCAGCUAAUAGACCUUAUUUAUGCAUAAUGACAUCACAAGGCUUGAUGCCCGCAAGGAAUGCUGGUCUUUGUAGUCAUCACCUGGGAAAAUGAUAAUGAUUUCUUUAUUAAUGAUAAUGAUUUAUUUAAAGUCGAAAAACACAAGAAGUGGUCGCCCAAUCUUCCGAGCCAGAGGCUCAUGUUAAAAGUGCUCGACAUUAACUAUUACAACUAUAUAUAUACAAAAACCUUAGGAUAUUAGAAUUAUUAAUAGAUACCUGCAUGUAGCUACAAUAUAGGAAUAGUUCAAAAGUAUGUAUAGUUUAAGAUAGACAUCUAUUAAAAGUGCAGCCUUUCUUAAUGUCCUCUGGCAUCAAGCUUUUUAACAAUUUGCCUUAAAAUGUCUGACUGUUGUUGCACAUUUAAUGUUUUGUGGGAGCUUAUAUUCCACACAUGACUAAUCAGUCAAGAGUUAUGAUAAUAUAAAUUGUUAUAAACCGGUUGGAUCAAUGUUCCACGAUUUCUUAAAUUGUACACUGUUUCAUGUCCUUUUAAAAAUUCUCUAAUAAUUUUGAUAGUGGCCAUUUUGAAUUGUUAAAUUUUCCCAGGCAAUGACUACUAAAACCAGCAUUCCUCACGGGCAUCUGAAGCCUUGUGACGUCAUUAUGCAUAAGGUCUAUUACAAUGUAUUGCUAAAGCUUAUUUUACGAAAAUAUUAAACUAACAAUUAAAAAUACAUUUAUACUGUGGAUUCAGGUAGACCGUUUAAUGCGAAUAGUUGUCGCGUUAAUUUUAACAGUUGUACGAUGACGUUUCUAGGCAGAUUUUCGACGUUUCUAAGGCGUGGCUUCAGCGUUUAUUUUUAAAAUUUGAACGUUGUAAUUACAAGGUAAUUGCUAAAUAAUAUACUUCAAAAUAAGGUUUCCGUUUUUAUAUCAAUUUUUUAAAUAAGUUAGGGUUAGGUAAGGGUUUAGUUUUGCGUUAGGAUGAUUUUUUCUACGUUAUAAAAACGGAACCCUUAUUUUGAAGUAUAUUAUUUAGCAAUUACCUUGUAAUUACAACGUUCAAAUUUUAAAAAUAAACGUUGAAGCCACGCCUUAGAAACGUCGAAAAUCUGCCUAGAAACGUCAUUGUACAACUGUUAAAACUAACGCGACAACUAUUCGCAUUAAACGGUCUACCUGAAUCCGCAGUAACAUAUAAAAAUACUUUACAAAUUUUAAGACACAGUAAUAAAGUUAGUAAAUGCAACAACAUGUCAUAAUUAUUAUCAAAGAUUAUAUUGUUGGAAAUUUACUACUAUAAAUGCAAUCUGGUCUCAAGGCAUUCAUCUCUUUUCUUAAAACAUGUAAAGGGGACCACAGGCAUCCCUAGGGUGACCAAAGGGGGGGGGGGACCAAUUGUGUGCACAUGUUUGAAGGUUUUUCUCUGGAUACUCUGGUGUCCCUGUCACUUAAAACGAACCUUUUAGGCCUUUAAAUAGCUGCAUGAUGAGCAUGUGUGUCACGAGCCCAUGGCUCGGCUGGAUCGAGAGACCAUCAUUGAUGUGGAAAUAUUUUAUAACUAACAAUAUACAAUCCAACUCUUUUUAGAGUCUUCACAGACUGUCAGCUGUGUCAAGACCGAUCAGUUUGAAGGCAAACAGUAGAGAAAGGACUCGAAGAGAUGCCAAGCAGUCGGAAGUAAAAAUGACAGAGGGCAAAUGCAGAACGUUAGCAGCAUUAUAGACCUUAACUCGAUUCCUUUGCUAACCAUCAGAAUUCAAGUCGCACUAGAACCAAUAAUCAGUGCACAACAGAGACAAAACCACAGUGAUUACUAAUCUGCAUUGUAGACUUUAACUCAUUCAUUUGCAAACUAUGAGCAUUGAUCAACUAAUUCUGUUUGUUCCAAAUUUGGAAGAUUGUUAAGUCACAACAGAUGCAGCACCAGAGACAAUAUUCCAUCCACAUCGCCACAGUCUUGACAGUGUUGGAAACCCUAAAGGAAGAUAACCUAUCAGCAGCAUCGGAUUUUAUUGAAUGUGCCAAGUUGGGAUGCAAGAAUCUGUCAAACCACAUCCAACAGUACCAAGACACUAACCAUGGGAAUGAAGAAUACUGUCUAGUUUGCAUAAAGUAGUUGCUCAGGAAAACACCAUCAUUACACAAG